rnacentral:rRNA from 1 species
UACGUAGGGUGCAAGCGUUGUCCGGAAUUAUUGGGCGUAAAGAGCUCGUAGGCGGUCUGUCGCGUCGGAUGUGAAAAUCCAGGGCUCAACCCUGGACCUGCAUUCGAUACGGGCGAGCUAGAAUUCGGUAGGGGGAGACUGGAAUUCCUGGUGUAGCGGUGAAAUGCGCAGAUAUCAGGAGGAACACCGGUGGCGAAGGCGGGUCUCUGGGCCGAUAUUGACGCUGAGGAGCGAAAGCGUGGGGAGCGAACAGGG